rnacentral:lncRNA from 1 species
ACAUGGAGGUUCCCAGGCUAGGGGUCGAAUUGGAGCUACAGCUGCCAGCCUACACCACAGCCACAGCAACACAGGAUCUGAACUGCGUCUGCGACGCACACCACAGCUCACAGCAAUGCUGGAUCCUUAACCCACUGAGUGAGGCCAGGGAUCGAACCCGUGUCCUCAUGGUUACUAGUUGGAUUCAUUUCUGCUGAGCCACAAUGGGAACACCUGAUGGUGCAAUAUAUUGCAAUAUUCUAUACCCUGUAUUUACUAGUGUUGGUUCCCAGGCUAGGGGUUGAAUCCGAGCUGUAGCCUCUGGGCUUUGCCAUAGCCACAGCAACAUCAAAUCCAAGCCAUGUCUGUGAGCUGCAUGGCUACACCAUAGCUCAGGGCCGCGCUGGAUCCUUAACCCAUUGAGCAAGUCCAGGGAUCAAACCUGCAUCCUCAUGGAUGCUAGCCAGAUUCCUUUCCACUGAGCCUCAAUGGGAACUCCAUAUUGCCUCUUUUUAUGCUAUGUAUCUUUUUAACAUAUUCCUUGUAUCCUGCUUUAUUCUUAAAAUAUAAAAAUAUAGAUAUUUUAUGUUUUUCAUGGUCUUCAUAAAUAUUUUUGUAGCUGCAUAACAUAUCAGCAAGGGUAGAUUUUAUAUACAAAUUUCCCCAUUGUGGACAUAUAAAUUGUUUCAAAUAUUUUUAGGAUUGUAAAUAAUGCUCAGAUGGAUCAUUUUUCAGUAAAGAUAUCUCCCAAAAGGAAAUAUGCUGCUCUCUAGAUAUAUUUUUAUUAUCUUUUUCUUGUUUAUAUUGAUCUGUAUCAAAAGUUUAAUAUUUUUUACAUUCCUGAAUUAUAUUGCAAAUGUGUUUUCCAAAAUGGUUUGCCAAUUUACAUUUCUGUAUGUAGCAUUCAGUGUCCUCAUUGAACUGAAUCCCUGAGAGCAUUAAAAUUCUAGCAGUAUUAAAAUGUUUUUUCAACCAUUACUAGUUUUGCAAACAAAAAAUAGAAUCUUACUUUACUUUUAAUUAACAUUCCUUUUAGCAAGCAUUUUAAUGUUUUUUAGACAAUAUUUUUUUUUGAGUUGCUUAUUGCUGUUCUGAGAUGAGUUGUAUCCUAAAUUCCUGCGUUGAAGUCCUCACCCCUUAUACCUCAAAAUGUGACUGUAUUUGGAGAUAAGGACUUUAAAGAGAUAGUAAGGGAAAAUGAGGUCAUAUGGGUGGGUCCUAAUUCAAUAUGACUAGUAUCCUUAUACAAAGAGAUUAGGACACAGGAAGCACGAAGACCAAGAGAGAACCAUGUAGGACACAGAAAGAAAGCAUCCAUCUUUACGCAGAGGAGAGAGAUCCCAGAAGAAACCCAACCUGCCAGCAGCUAGAUCUCAGACUUCUGGCUUCUAGAACUGUGAGAUAAUAAAUUUCUGUUCCUUAAACCAUUCAGCCUGUAGUAUUUUGUUAUAGCACCUCUAGCAAAAUAAAACAGUGUUUCUUGCCAAUUUAUUUAUUAGGGUCUUAGAGCGUUUCUUCUUCAUUUGUACAGACUCUUUAAAAAAACUUUUUUUGGAGUAUAGUUAACUUACAAUGUUGUAUUAGUUUCACGUGUACAGCAAAGUCAACCAGUUUAUAUAUAGAGAGAGAGAAAGAGAAAGAGAGGGAGAGAGAAUCUAUUUAUCUAGAGAUCAUAUGAAUUAAUAUACAUAAAUUCAUUCUUUUAUCUGUAUAGCUUAUUACAAGCUAUAGAGUAGAUUUCCCUGUGCUUUGCAGUAGAUUCUUAUUGAGUGAAAUAAAUCAGACGGAGAAGGAUAAAUAUUGUAUGAUAUUGCUUAUAUGUAGAAUCUAAUAAAAAUUAUACAAAAUAACUUAUAAAACAAAACAAACUCACACAUUUCAAAACCAAUCUUAUGGUGACCAUAGGGAAAAUAGAAACAAACUUACAGCUUUCAAAACCACUCCUAUGGUUACCAUAGGGGAAACCAUUGGGGGUGGGGGAGGGGAUUAGGAGAGUGGGAAUAACACAUACAAGCUCUUUUUAUGUUAAACAUAUUUAUGUAUUUAUUGUUUCCUUUUUGCACUUCUUACAAAGUGAUUCUUUGGUUUUUCCAUGUUUUCCUCUUUUUUUAGCUUACAACAUGUGUGUAUUUAAUUUUUUCCCAUAAUUAUUCAUCUUUUCUAUAUGCUUUUCUUCCUGGUACUUCAAAGCCUGAAAAGUCUUUUUCCUUUAAGUGAUUUUAUACACUGUCAGUUCUAGUUUUUGUUAGUUUUUCUGUGACUUGAAGUUGACCUGUAUAAUAUAACUAUUUUCCAUGUUUGAGAAUGCAGACUUACAAAAGUUGGUGAAUUUCAAAUGUACAGAGCAAAGCUUUCUUUAAGAUUUUUAUGUCAUGCCCAGAACCCAGUCUUCUUUAUUUGAAAUGACCUAUUUAAGAUAACAGUUAUUUUCAGUGGCUUUUACUUCAUUUUGAAAACCUGCAUUGUAAAAUGGAACAAUAACCUCAUUUUUUAAAUCUUCAAUUUUGUUAAGAUCAACUGUUAUAAAGACAAAGAACCUCAAGACAAAGAAUGGCUACAGUUCUCUGAAAUCUGUUCAGUGUCUGAAGUUCUACUGAAAUCUUUCAAGUUAAGGACAUGAUGUCUUGUAAGAUGAAAAAAAAUAUUUCCUCCUGCUUUUUCUUGUUUUCAUUUGUGAUUCUGGUGCUAAGAAAAAAUUUAUUCUUUUAUGGAUUGUUUUUUCCAAAGUUUCUGCUUCUUUCUUUUUUUUCCUGUGAAGAUCUUUCUAGAACUUGUUUAGAAAUAUUCAUUGUAUUUCUUUGUUUUUGCUCUCAGGCCCCAUUAAAAAGGCCAUCUCUUCAAGACACUGAUAGUUCUUUUGUUGGUGGUGUUCAUUUCAAAAUAUAAAACUGUCUUGACUUGUGAGCUAAAAUUAUCUGACAAUUAUGGAAUUUAUCCUGAGUUGAACUGUCUUAUGUCAGUGCAGAAUAGUUAAAAAAAAAAAAAAAAAAAAAA